AAUCACUUGUCUUUUAAAUGGAGACCUGUAUGAAUGGCAUAACGAGGGCUUGACUGUCUCCUCCUUCCGGUCAAUGAAAUUGAUCUCCCCGUGCAGAAGCGGGGAUUAAAACAUAAGACGAGAAGACCCUAUGGAGCUUUAGGUACCAAGGCAGUCCAUGUUAAGCACCCCUGAAUAAAGGCCUAAACUUAGUGGACUCUGCCCUAGUAUCUUCGGUUGGGGCGACCCUGGGGAAAUACAAAACCCCCAUGUGGAAUGGGAGCACUACCCCGCUUAUCCCCUGCUCCUACAAACUUGAAACACAAUUCUAAUUAACAGAACUUCUGACCAAACAUGAUCCGGCAAUGCCGAUUAACGGACCAAGUUACCCUAGGGAUAACAGCGCAAUCCUCUUUUAGAGCCCAUAUCGACAAGGGGGUUUACGACCUCGAUGUUGGAUCAGGACAUCCUAAUGGUGCAGCCGCUAUUAAGGGUUCGUUUGUUCAACGAUUAA
rnacentral:rRNA from 1 species